ACUGGUGUUAUCACUACCUGGAGGGGUCAUGGUGUUAUUACAUUGGUCUUAUAACACCAUCCUGGAGGGACCAUGGUGUUAUAACACCAUCCUGGCGGGACCAUGGUAUUAUAACACUGGUGUUAUAACACCAUCCUGGAGGGACCAUGGUGUUAUAACACUGGUGUUAUCACUACCUGGAGGGGGACCAUGGUGUUAUAACACCAUCCUGGAGGGGCCAUGGU